rnacentral:tRNA from 1 species
GCAGUGGUAGUUUGGUGGUAAAAUUCUCACCUUCCAUGUGGGGGACCUGGGUUUGAUUCCCAUCCAACGCA